UGGGGAAUAUUGCACAAUGGGCGCAAGCCUGAUGCAGCCAUGCCGCGUGUAUGAAGAAGGCCUUCGGGUUGUAAAGUACUUUCAGCGGGGAGGAAGGUGUUGAGGUUAAUAACCUCAGCAAUUGACGUUACCCGCAGAAGAAGCACCGGCUAACUCCGUGCCAGCAGCCGCGGUAAUACGGAGGGUGCAAGCGGUAAUCGGAAUUACUGGGCGUAAAGCGCACGCAGGCGGUCUGUCAAGUCGGAUGUGAAAUCCCCGGGCUCAACCUGGGAAUUGCAUCCGAAACUGGCAGGCUUGAGUCUUGUAGAGGGGGGUAGAAUUCCAGGUGUAGCGGUGAAAUGCGUAGAGAUCUGGAGGAAUACCGGUGGCGAAGGCGGCCCCCUGGACAAAGACUGACGCUCAGGUGCGAAAGCGUGGGGAGCAAACA
rnacentral:rRNA from 1 species